rnacentral:rRNA from 1 species
GGCCUACGGGGGGCAGCAGUGGGGAAUAUUGCACAAUGGGGGAAACCCUGAUGCAGCCAUGCCGCGUGUGUGAAGAAGGCCUUCGGGUUGUAAAGCACGUUCAGUCAGGAGGAAAGGUGGCUAGCUAAUAUCUAGUUGCUGUGACGUUACUGACAGAAGAAGCACCGGCUAACUCCGUGCCAGCAGCCGGGGUAAUACGGAGGGUGCAAGGGUUAAUCGGAAUUACUGGGCGUAAAGCGCACGCAGGCGGUUUGUUAAGUCAGAUGUGAAAGCCCCGGGCUCAACCUGGGAACUGCAUUUGAAACGGACAAGCUAGAGUCUUGUAGAGGGGGGUAGAAUUCCAGGUGUAGCGGUGAAAUGCUUAGAGAUCUGGAGGCAUACCGGUGGCGAAGGCGGCCCCCUGGACAGAGACUGACGCUCAGGUGCGAAAGCGUGCUGAGCAAACAGGAUUAGAUACCCUAGUAGUCCC